rnacentral:tRNA from 1 species
CACUAAGAAGCUAGUCAGCGUUAACCUUUUAA